rnacentral:lncRNA from 1 species
AGCGGACUUAGAAGCAUAAAAAACCCCAAAACAUGACACGAACAUAACAAAGAAAACAUAAAAGAAAAAAACAGCAACUUGAGAAGACUAUAAAUGUAUCCCAGCAACAAGAAAUGUCUUGAAUUGAAAACCCGUCAAAAGAUUUGGAGAAAGAACACCAAAAAGAAGCCUUUAAACAAGUUGCAUCAAAGGGAGCAUUAGAACUUGGUGAAUCAUGGAAAAUAAGCUGAUUUCUUUCCAUCCAGAGAUCAGAAGAAUCGCCUUGACUGUGUUAUCCAAAGCAAAUAAGCUUGUGAGUGUUCCACCUCGACCCGCUUAAGAGUUAUGAAACAUUCCUCUCCAAAGAGUGAGAAAACCUUGCUAUGAUAUUUUAAUUUGUAAUAAUUUGGCCUAUAAUAUUUGAUUUGUAAUAAACUAAGUCUAUGAACUUUCACAAUUGUAGUAGUCUAAUUCUUAACCUGAAAAUUUCCAAUAUAAGUGUCAUUUUUUAUUUUCUAACAACUUAACUUUUGUAGUUGGAAAACAUUUGGUCCCUAAUCUAUUUACUGGUUAAAAGAUUCCAUUAAACUUUUUUGUAAUAUUUUUCACAAUAGACAUUGAAUCAUUACAAAUUUUUAAGUUAAAAAGUAAUAUAAAGACGAUGAAUUAAAUUGUUGCAUAAUAUUAGAGUUGAUGGACUAUUUUUUACAAAAUUUAACAUAUAAAGACUAAAUAGUCGCAAACUAAAGUUCAUUAAAUUGUUAUUUUCUAAAACUAGAUGGACCAAAAAUAAAUUUAUAUCUCAUUCUCAUUUUUCCCUUCAAAAUUUCUUCACUCCGUAGUCAUAUAUAAAUUUUCUUAAGAAAAUAACUCAAGUCAAAAAACCCAUUUUGGUAUUCAAAAUGUAAACUCCACAUGUACUAUAUAGGACGUCACUUUUUCUAUAUAUAAAAUUCCUUAUUCAAGAGAUUACUAUGAAGAAAGCUAUCAUAUCAACUAUCAAGUCAAGAUGAGAAUCUAGUUUCAAAUUUCAUGCACUUUCUCAUCUUCAAAGUAGAAACUGCUGAACUAACCUAUUCAACUUGUAUUUAUAAAGUAAAUCUUAGUUCAAUGGUAAUUAAUAUAUAUUCCUUCCAUUAGAAACAACUUUUUAUUGAAUUAAAUGAAAAGAACCUAGAAAAUUGAUAAUAAAAACAGCAAAAAGUUUACCAGUAAUCAUAUAACCACAUACAAACAAGUGGUUGAUAAGGAUAAAACAACAUACACCACAAAACCAAUGUUGACUAUAAAUAAACAAUUUUGGAUCACAAAACAUUUCCUACUCUUUUAUUUUCUUCAAAUGCUACCAAAAAAUGUCCCAAAAUAGCAAAUGGCAGUUCCACCCAUUUGAAAAUCUCAAACUGAAGAAAAAGAGAGAAAAGUUCUCCCAUUAAACCCAAAUUAACUGAUCCUACAGCUAUAAUCUCACUAUCAAUUUAACACAGAGCUAACAUGCAACCGCAAGAACAUUUCAAAGGAAUUAAACAGAAUGUACUCUUAUUUUAGAAUUAGAAAGAACAAAUUUGAAACUGCAGCCAAUUCUUUGAAUUCAAAAUGAUGCAGAAAGGUAAAAAAAAAUGACAAAAUUGAUGGAUUUACCUCUUUUUUCCCCCAUUUUUCAGGUCUGGACUCGAUUUGAUUUGGUUUGGUUUUGUUCAGAAAGUGGCAGCAAACCCAGUUUAGGGCAGAUUGUUUGGGCUUCUUCGAUUGGAUUGAUCAUUGUUGCAGCAAUGCAUUAUCGGAUUCGG